rnacentral:tRNA from 1 species
GCUUGAAUAGCUCAGAUGGUAGAGCAACUGACUCUUAAUCAGUGGGUCUAGGGUUCGAGUCCCUAUUCGAGCACCA